rnacentral:rRNA from 1 species
GACGAACGCUGGCGGCGUGCCUAAUACAUGCAAGUCGAACGGAAAGGCCCUGCUUUUGUUGGGUUCUCGAUUGGCGAACGGGUGAGUAACACGUGAGUAUCCUGCCCUUGACUUUGUGAUAACUUCAGGAAACUGGGGCUAAUACCGGAUAGGAUCUCCUGCUGCAUGUUGGGGGUUGGAAAGUGUCGGCGGUUGUGGAUGUACUCGCGGCUUAUCAGCUUGUUGGUGGGGUAGUGGCUGACCAAGGCUUUGACGGGUAGCCGGCCUGAGAGGGUGACCGGCCACAAUGGGACUGAGAUACGGACCAGAAUCCUACGGGAGGCAGCAGUGGGGAAUAUUGCACAAUGGGCGGAAGCCUGAUGCAGAAACGCCGCGUGCGGGAUGACGGCCUUCGGGUUGUAAACCGCUUUCGCAUGUGACGAAGCGUGAGUGACGGUAAUGGGUAAAGAAGCACCGGCUAACUACGUG